AUUGAACGCUGGCGGCAGGCUUAACACAUGCAAGUCGAGCGGAGAGGGGUAGCUUGCUACUGAUCUUAGCGGCGGACGGGUGAGUAAUGCUUAGGAAUCUGCCUAUUAGUGGGGGACAACAUUUCGAAAGGAAUGCUAAUACCGCAUACGUCCUACGGGAGAAAGCAGGGGAUCUUCGGACCUUGCGCUAAUAGAUGAGCCUAAGUCGGAUUAGCUAGUUGGUGGGGUAAAGGCCUACCAAGGCGACGAUCUGUAGCGGGUCUGAGAGGAUGAUCCGCCACACUGGGACUGAGGCACGGCCCAGACUCCUACGGGAGGCAGCAGUGGGGAAUAUUGGACAAUGGGCGCAAGCCUGAUCUAGCCAUGCCGCGUGUGUGAAGAAGGCCUUAUGGUUGUAAAGCACUUUAAGCGAGGAGGAGGCUACUUUAGAUAAUACCUAGGGAUAGUGGACGUUACUCGCAGAAUAAGCACCGGCUAACUCUGUGCCAGCCGCCGCUGUAAGAC
rnacentral:rRNA from 1 species